rnacentral:lncRNA from 1 species
GAAAAGUUUAACUGCUAAAGGUUCCGUUGCAAUAACAGAGGACAAAAUUGUAAAUUCUUUAUUGCAGCCACAUGGUGGCAUUAUUUCCAGUCGUACUGUAUGUCUCAUAAAACAGAAGCCUUGCCAGAUGAACAGAUUAACAGUGAAGAUGCUUGGGUUUCAUCCUGUAUAAACUCAAAUGACUGGUAUAAAAUCACCAGAAUCUAAAGUCAAGUGUACUGUCUGCAUCAGUCCAACUACUUGUCCUUAAAUAGCUACUGCAAUUAGUAAUGCUAAUUAAUUAGUGAAGCAAAUAACAAAAACGUUCAGCAGAUGAUUUCUUUUUUCUUUUUUUCUUUUGCAGUGGCAAUAAAGAAAUGACAGACAAUUUCCUCAGAUUUCACUUGUGAGAAAUAUCACUGGUAAUUCUAAGAAGCAAUAACAAAAACGUUCAGCUAGAUGUAUUUCUUUUCUUUUUUUUCUUUUUUGCAGUGGCAAUAAAGAAAUGACAGACAAUUUCCUCAGAUUUCACUUGUGAGAAAUAUCACUGGUAAUUCUAAGAAGCAGCAGAGGAUCCCACAAUCCUUUGGGUGGAGCUUGAUGAGAAUGGUUACAGCAGAAGGCAGUCCUGUGUUUCUCCACAUCUCAUUUUGUAUAUGAUCUCCCACAGUCAUAAUGAUUUUGUUUUACCUUAAUGUUUUGGCAAUUCUAACAGGUAUGUUAAUUUGAUAUUUACAUUUGUUCAUAUAUCGAUAUUUACUAGGAGACUAUAUACCCCUAUAAAAACAUUUCAACGAACAGAUACAGUUACUGAGGUGUAACAGUUCAAAAAAGGAAAUGUGCACAAAUUCAGUCAGAGUCUGUGAGUUAAAAAGUUUGAGCUGCUUGUGAUGAUCCAUGAUGUUUCUAUGCAGUGUCUGGUUCAUUCUUCUCUUUUCAGGUGAUGCAUGUGGAGAAGGAAUAGCUCCUCUCUCCUCAUCUGAGCUUGUUACCGAUGGUGACUCCAUUACUUUGGCCUGCAAUUACAAUGGGACUUACAAUAGUGAUUCUCUCCUCUGGUAUCGUCAAUUCAGCAGCUCCAACCCAGAGUUUUUGUUUCUGGUUAGUGAAGCCAAACUUGAGCAGCCAGCUGACCCUCCAAUACCUGGAGUGUUUGCUAAAUUAAAUGAGGAGAAAAACCGUGUGGUUCUGAAGAUCUCCUCUGCUUCAGUAUCAGACUCUGCUCUGUACUACUGUGCCCUGCAGCCCACACUGACAGGAAACACAAGAACACUGUACCAAAUUAAAGAGAAAACAACUAAACGAACAACCUGAUGAACUACACAAAAUAUUGAAUUAAACCUCUAUAUGACUGUGUCUUUGUUGCAUGAUGUUCUAAAAAUAUAUUUAAAUAAUGGUGCAACCACAAAAUGUACAUAACCAGAAAGCUUAGCAGAAAGUCAAGA